rnacentral:rRNA from 1 species
AACGUAGGAGACAAACGUUAUCCGGAGUUACUGGGCGUAAAGGGCGUGUAGGUGGUUUUAUAAGUCUGGCGUGAAAUUUCUCGGCUUAACCGAGGCAGGUCGUCGGAUACUAUGAGACUAGAGGACGGUAGAGGCGUGUGGAAUUCCGGGGUGUAGUGGUGAAAUGCGCAGAUAUCGGGGAGGAACACCAAAUGGCGAAAGGCAGCUCGCUGG